rnacentral:lncRNA from 1 species
GAAGGUGGUUUCCCUAGAGUUGGGAUAUGGCAAGUUGCGAGCGAAAAGAGACAAGGUGUCCGAUAGGCUCGAACUUGGCCGAACACUUUGAUUGCGAAUAGAAGUGGAGUUCUGCGAGAGCCUAACGAAGUAGGGCUUGAGCGGGUUUGUGGGACAAAGGCUAAAGGUGCCGUGCAUCAAUAAGUAGACGAAAUGCAAAGCAGUCAGGAGGCAUGACAAGAGUCCGUGGUAAAGUCAGUAGAGCAGGAAGUAGUCGAGGCCAGCUAGUCCCGACGAAAGACUUGAAGGCUUGGGGAGACCAUGGGGAGAGCUCGACGUUGUGCGAUUGUGGAGGCAUUGGGGUGGCAAAAGUUGUUUGCGAAGAGGGCACGAGUAUGGC